UACAGAGGGGGCAAGCGUUGUUCGGAAUUACUGGGCGUAAAGGGCGCGUAGGCGGCCUUCUAAGUCGAACGUGAAAUCCCCCGGGCUCAACCCGGGAACUGCGCCCGAGACUGAAAGGCUCGAACCGGGAGAGGGAUGUGGGAAUUCCAGGUGUAGCGGUGAAAUGCGUAGAUAUCUGGAGGAACAUCGGUGGCGAAGGCGGC
rnacentral:rRNA from 1 species